rnacentral:misc_RNA from 1 species
GAACAUGGCCUUGUUUCUAGUAGUAGUCUACUACUACUACUACUACCUUUGUUGCCUGUGGACUGCCACGCCACGCCCGAUGUACAUGCGCUACAACUACAAGUCUACAACCCGUGGCUGGAGUGGAGCUAUAUGGGCGAUGCCUGCGUGCCCGCGGACUGUGCCGGUUAUUAAUGCUCAGCGCCUACUUUAUUCGCUGCUGCUUGCUACACUUAGACUUGAGGACUUGAGACGAGAGCCAUGCUUUACACAUGGAUGGCCUUUUAUGCAUGCAGCAGAGCUGAAUUUGUACUCUUGCAGUCGUGCUUUUCUUUACCUGCUCUUUUCAGGAGGCAACACAGGCGAAAUUUUCCAACAGAUGCCUUUUUUUUGUGUACAUGCUUAUGCUGUGAUCAUCCACGUUUAUUUUCUUUCCGUACAAACUUUACACCUUGCUGAGCUUCCCCCCUAGAACAGAGCUAUUCUCCAGGUCAAUUGCUGAGUUAGGUAGGCUAGAAAUUCCGAGGGGGGGGGGGGGGUACAAGUGG